rnacentral:rRNA from 1 species
UACGUAGGGUGCGAGCGUUAAUCGGAAUUACUGGGCGUAAAGCGUGCGCAGGCGGUCUGUUAAGACCGAUGUGAAAUCCCCGGGCUUAACCUGGGAACUGCAUUGGUGACUGGCAGGCUUUGAGUGUGGCAGAGGGAGGUGGAAUUCCGCGUGUAGCAGUGAAAUGCGUAGAUAUGCGGAGGAACACCGAUGGCGAAGGCAAUCCCCUGGGCCUGCACUGACGCUCAUGCACGAAAGCGUGGGGAGCAAACAGG